rnacentral:lncRNA from 1 species
AGAAAACUCAAGGUGGGGGGAGUUUUUGAGAUUAACCUGGGGGUUGUACACCCACCCACCCUUUAGAUGAUUCAUCCAGAGGUUCUCCUUACACAGGAGUGCUAAUCUGAGUGGGGCCUGAGAGCACGAGUGUCUUACAAGUUCCAGGUGAUGGUGAUGCUGACCUGUGACCAUGUUUGAAGAACCACUGACUGAAACAACUUUAAAGCCCCUUCUCCAACAGGGUCUCUUGACUUAGGAGCUGAUUGGGCCUGAUGAUUCUGCCCACAUGAAUGGGUUAAUGUCACUAAGGAGAAAGCAGAUUGCAGACCGCCUUGAUCCUUCGGCCUCCAUGGACAAAUACGAGGCUCUCUGCUUCCUCAAGGACCAUCAGUGAAGCUGAUCUCAAAGUGGGAGCUUGACCAGUAAUGUGGAUGAACUAUAUCUGACGUGAGCCCAUCACAAAAUCGGUCCCUCUCCGUUUAUCAUCCGAACCUGAGAACGGGAGCCUUCACGUGGGUGGGCCACCAUGAACUGGGAUGACGAUCCACCCUGGAGAAGGACAGGGGAGAGGUGGCCCUGGGAAUCCAGAGGAUAUCCACCGAUUACCGUUUGGAUGCCUGGCCUCGGUGGGGAAUCAUGGCUCCUAUUUCUGUAUAACGAAAGUCUUGAGCCAGGAUCAAGAUGUGAGCUCUCAGCUGUUCCCGCUGCCAUGCCAUUGCUGUGCCUUCAUGGACUCUAACCUUCUGAAUUCCUGAGCUUCUGGCUUCUUGCUGGCAUCUUCUCCAGACAGAAACAUUGGACUUAUGCCACAAACUCCACAAGUACAUGUGACCUGAGGACAACUCCCCUCCUGGGAAGAGCACUAGACCUACACCAGUAACUCCACCUAUCCUGGAGACCCACCUAUGCCACAAAGGCCACAUGUCUUACACCUGCUUCUUCUCCAGCUCAGGCUGUAAGGUGAUCCUGGCUCCACUAAAGCUCAGACUGAAAUCCCAGACUUGCUAUGCUGUCCUCAACAAGGCUGGAGAAUCCUGAGACUUCCUAUCUUCGAUAGUCUCCUAGAUGCACUGGAGGGGUACCAGGACUGCCAUACCCAGUGACUCCAACCUGCAGGAAGAAGCCAGAUUUGGCCAUUGCUCCAAUUCCUGAAGGAAGCAUGAUGAGAGCAGGCAUUAGAAGCUGACCAGGAAGAGCAGGGAUUCCAAAGCAGCAAACCCAAGGAUGUCGGAAGAGUCUGAGUCUGUUACCUCCUCUAGAUGAAGACCUCUGAAAAUCCACCGUGAGGAUGAAACUGAGAGGAGGCACCCAGACACCUGGAUGGGUAACUGAGCUGAACAGCUCAUCCGCCUCUCAUAAGUCACCCCAGUGUAACAGUUCAAACCUAUUUCCCAGAACCCUUCUUACUAUCUCUCUUUUUCUUUUAAGGUACCACUAUAUAAUAAAUUUCUCUGUAG